rnacentral:rRNA from 1 species
AGCGUACACGGUGGAUGCCCUGGCAGUCAGAGGCGAUGAAGGACGUGCUAAUCUGCGAUAAGCGUCGGUAAGGUGAUAUGAACCGUUAUAACCGGCGAUUUCCGAAUGGGGAAACCCAGUGUGAUUCGUCACACUAUCAUUAACUGAAUCCAUAGGUUAAUGAGGCGAACCGGGGGAACUGAAACAUCUAAGUACCCCGAGGAAAAGAAAUCAACCGAGAUUCCCCCAGUAGCGGCGAGCGAACGGGGAGCAGCCCAGAGCCUGAAUCAGUGUGUGUGUUAGUGGAAGCGUCUGGAAAGGCGCGCGAUACAGGGUGACAGCCCCGUACACAAAAAUGCACAUGCUGUGAGCUCGAUGAGUAGGGCGGGACACGUGGUAUCCUGUCUGAAUAUGGGGGGACCAUCCUCCAAGGCUAAAUACUCCUGACUGACCGAUAGUGAACCAGUACCGUGAGGGAAAGGCGAAAAGAACCCCGGCGAGGGGAGUGAAAAAGAACCUGAAACCGUGUACGUACAAGCAGUGGGAGCCUCUUUAUGGGGUGACUGCGUACCUUUUGUAUAAUGGGUCAGCGACUUAUAUUCUGUAGCAAGGUUAACCGAAUAGGGGAGCCGAAGGGAAACCGAGUCUUAACUGGGCGUUAAGUUGCAGGGUAUAGACCCGAAACCCGGUGAUCUAGCCAUGGGCAGGUUGAAGGUUGGGUAACACUAACUGGAGGACCGAACCGACUAAUGUUGAAAAAUUAGCGGAUGACUUGUGGCUGGGGGUGAAAGGCCAAUCAAACCGGGAGAUAGCUGGUUCUCCCCGAAAGCUAUUUAGGUAGCGCCUCGUGAAUUCAUCUCCGGGGGUAGAGCACUGUUUCGGCAAGGGGGUCAUCCCGACUUACCAACCCGAUGCAAACUGCGAAUACCGGAGAAUGUUAUCACGGGAGACACACGGCGGGUGCUAACGUCCGUCGUGAAGAGGGAAACAACCCAGACCGCCAGCUAAGGUCCCAAAGUCAUGGUUAAGUGGGAAACGAUGUGGGAAGGCCCAGACAGCCAGGAUGUUGGCUUAGAAGCAGCCAUCAUUUAAAGAAAGCGUAAUAGCUCACUGGUCGAGUCGGCCUGCGCGGAAGAUGUAACGGGGCUAAACCAUGCACCGAAGCUGCGGCAGCGACGCUUAUGCGUUGUUGGGUAGGGGAGCGUUCUGUAAGCCUGUGAAGGUGUGCUGUGAGGCAUGCUGGAGGUAUCAGAAGUGCGAAUGCUGACAUAAGUAACGAUAAAGCGGGUGAAAAGCCCGCUCGCCGGAAGACCAAGGGUUCCUGUCCAACGUUAAUCGGGGCAGGGUGAGUCGACCCCUAAGGCGAGGCCGAAAGGCGUAGUCGAUGGGAAACAGGUUAAUAUUCCUGUACUUGGUGUUACUGCGAAGGGGGGACGGAGAAGGCUAUGUUGGCCGGGCGACGGUUGUCCCGGUUUAAGCGUGUAGGCUGGUUUUCCAGGCAAAUCCGGAAAAUCAAGGCUGAGGCGUGAUGACGAGGCACUACGGUGCUGAAGCAACAAAUGCCCUGCUUCCAGGAAAAGCCUCUAAGCAUCAGGUAACAUCAAAUCGUACCCCAAACCGACACAGGUGGUCAGGUAGAGAAUACCAAGGCGCUUGAGAGAACUCGGGUGAAGGAACUAGGCAAAAUGGUGCCGUAACUUCGGGAGAAGGCACGCUGAUAUGUAGGUGAGGUCCCUCGCGGAUGGAGCUGAAAUCAGUCGAAGAUACCAGCUGGCUGCAACUGUUUAUUAAAAACACAGCACUGUGCAAACACGAAAGUGGACGUAUACGGUGUGACGCCUGCCCGGUGCCGGAAGGUUAAUUGAUGGGGUUAGCGGUAACGCGAAGCUCUUGAUCGAAGCCCCGGUAAACGGCGGCCGUAACUAUAACGGUCCUAAGGUAGCGAAAUUCCUUGUCGGGUAAGUUCCGACCUGCACGAAUGGCGUAAUGAUGGCCAGGCUGUCUCCACCCGAGACUCAGUGAAAUUGAACUCGCUGUGAAGAUGCAGUGUACCCGCGGCAAGACGGAAAGACCCCGUGAACCUUUACUAUAGCUUGACACUGAACAUUGAGCCUUGAUGUGUAGGAUAGGUGGGAGGCUUUGAAGUGUGGACGCCAGUCUGCAUGGAGCCGACCUUGAAAUACCACCCUUUAAUGUUUGAUGUUCUAACGUUGACCCGUAAUCCGGGUUGCGGACAGUGUCUGGUGGGUAGUUUGACUGGGGCGGUCUCCUCCUAAAGAGUAACGGAGGAGCACGAAGGUUGGCUAAUCCUGGUCGGACAUCAGGAGGUUAGUGCAAUGGCAUAAGCCAGCUUGACUGCGAGCGUGACGGCGCGAGCAGGUGCGAAAGCAGGUCAUAGUGAUCCGGUGGUUCUGAAUGGAAGGGCCAUCGCUCAACGGAUAAAAGGUACUCCGGGGAUAACAGGCUGAUACCGCCCAAGAGUUCAUAUCGACGGCGGUGUUUGGCACCUCGAUGUCGGCUCAUCACAUCCUGGGGCUGAAGUAGGUCCCAAGGGUAUGGCUGUUCGCCAUUUAAAGUGGUACGCGAGCUGGGUUUAGAACGUCGUGAGACAGUUCGGUCCCUAUCUGCCGUGGGCGCUGGAGAACUGAGGGGGGCUGCUCCUAGUACGAGAGGACCGGAGUGGACGCAUCACUGGUGUUCGGGUUGUCAUGCCAAUGGCACUGCCCGGUAGCUAAAUGCGGAAGAGAUAAGUGCUGAAAGCAUCUAAGCACGAAACUUGCCCCGAGAUGAGUUCU